GCUGGGACGCUUUCAUUAAGAUGGAACAUUAUUUAUUUAAGCGCAUGAUCGGUUGCAAAAGAUUCACUUGUCUUUGAGCUGGCACCCGGCACCCAACCGAGAUACAUGCCAAAAGAGAAAGAGCACAAGAACAGAAAAGAACAAAGCCCGGAUGCAUGGCAGCAUCUGCAUGCACUUUAUCCCUCCUCGUCCAUACAUCCAAGCUCAAACCCAAUCCCUUCUCCCUCCACUCUUCCCUCACCCAAAAAAAAAGACCCGAAAAGAAAGAGUCACAGACAGAUACCGGCAGCAACAAUAUCCAAAGCUAGGAGCAACACAUCAACACGCUCAAGAGCAAGAGCAAGUGAGCCGAGCAAGAAGCAAGCUCUGCCAUGCAGGCGCCAACCAUGUCGACUUCCAUGGCCACCACGCCGGCGACCACCCAUGCCGUGGCGCCGGCACCGGCGAAGCCCCCCGCGCCACGGCCGUGCUGCAACCACCUCCUCCUCCUCCCCUCCACCAGCCACCGCCACCGCCGCGGCAGCAUCGUGGCGCGGUCUGCGAAGAAGAGGAACCCGUGGCUGGACCCGUUCGACGACGGGCCCGACGAGGAGUUCGACUACCAGGGCAUGUUCGCCGGCGGGAAGCAGGAGGAGGACCCGCGGCCGCCCGAGGAUCCGGCCAACCCCUACGGGUUCCUCCGGUUCCCGCAGGGGUACAACCCGGAGCUGGACAGCCUCGCGUCCAAGGUCCGCGGCGACGUGCGGCGCGCCUGCUGCGUCGUGUCGGGCGGCGUGUACGAGAACGUGCUCUUCUUCCCCGUCGUGCAGAUGCUCAAGGACCGCUACCCCGGCGUGGUCGUCGACGUGGUGACGUCGGCCAGGGGGAAGCAGGUCUACGAGAUGUGCAAGAACGUCAGGUACGCCACCGUCUACGACCCCGACGACGACUGGCCGGAGCCAGCCGAGUACACGCACCAGCUCGGCAUCCUCAAGAAUAGGUACUAUGAUUUGAUCUUGUCCACGAGGCUGGCCGGCAUCGGGCACGCGCUCUUCCUCUUCAUGUCGUCGGCGCGCGACAAGAUCGGCUACGUUUACCCCAACGUCAACAGCGUCGGCGCGGGGCUGUUCCUAACCGAGAUGUUCAAGGCGCCGACCACCAACCUCUCCGACGGCGGCUACCACAUGUACAAGGAGAUGCUGGAGUGGAUUGGCCGGCCGGCGAAGAACGUGCCCCAGCAGCCGACGCCGCCGCUCCGGGUGUCCAUCUCCAAGAAGCUGCGGGCGUACGUGGAGGGCAAGUACGACAGCGCCGGCGUCCAGAAGGGCAAGUACGUCGUCGUCCAUGGCAUCGCCUCCGACUCCGUCGCCAGCAUGAAGUCCAGGGGAGACGACGACUGCCUCCUGCCCCUCGAGCACUGGGCUCAGAUAGCCAAGGAGAUCAGCUCUGACGACAAGGGGCUGAAGCCUCUGUUCGUGAUCCCCCAUGAGAAGCACAGGGAGGAGAUUGAGGAGGAGGUGGGUGAGGACACCAACAUCCUGUUCCUCACCACCCCGGGCCAGGUACAGGAGGUUAUGGGCCCAUCUGUCCAUCCUCCAUGAAAACUUCAUACAUUGUGGAAUGCAACAUUUCAGAGAUGACUCUUUGAGUUCUUACCAUGCCCUGUCUGACUGUCUUGUCAAGCUCACCUGCCUCAUCAACGACUCCGCCGGCGUGGUCGCAACCAACACAGCAGCCGUCCAGCUCGCCAACGCACGCAACAAGCCAUGUGUGGCUCUGUUCUCCUCGGCUGAGAAGGCGAGGCUGUUUCUGCCGUACAUGGAGGACAAGGGCAGCUGCACCGUGAUCACGUCAGCGACAGGGAAACUGAUCGACAUCGACGUCGAGGCUGUGAAGAAGGCAGUGAAGGACUUUGAGCCUGCUCCAAGCUUCGCAAUGGCAAAGUAGCUGCUGACAAGAUCAUCUCAAAUUGCUUUGUACAUAGAAAUUAAGAGAAUUUAUAUGAGCCACAACGCUCACAACAUGGUUCAUGCGUCGUGCAAUUUCAAUUCAGCAUAAUAUUGCAAAGCGCGAGCUGUAAAAUUUAGUGGAUUACAUAAAAAAAGGGCUAUAGAAGCUAUAGCGGCACCUA